rnacentral:pre_miRNA from 1 species
CCUCAGGCUCCCUGGGACACUAACAGACACCUGUGCCCCGGGGAGAGCGCCCCGAGCUCCCUAAGGGCUGCAGCGCCCAUGGCUGGACCUGGGAGCAGCU